rnacentral:rRNA from 1 species
UAAUACGUAGGGGGCUAGCGUUGUCCGGAUUUAUUGGGCGUAAAGAGCGUGUAGGCGGCCGGCUAGGUCUGGUGUGAAAACUCGAGGCUCAACCUCGAGAUGUCGCCGGAAACCAGUCGGCUAGAGUCCGGAAGAGGAGAGUGGAAUUCCUGGUGUAGCGGUGAAAUGCGCAGAUAUCAGGAAGAACACCUAUGGCGAAAGCAGCUCUCUGGGACGGUACUGACGCUGAGACGCGAAAGCGUGGGGAGCGAACAGGAUUAGAUACCCUGGUAGUCCACGCCGUAAACGAUGGGCGCUAGGUGUGGGCGGUGUCGACUCCGUCCGUGCCGAAGCUAACGCAUUAAGCGCCCCGCCUGGGGAGUACGGCCGCAAGGCUA